UCCUGGCUCAGGAUGAACGCUAGCGGGAGGCCUAAUACAUGCAAGUCGAACGGUAACAGGGUAGCAAUACCGCUGACGAGUGGCGUACGGGUGCGUAACGCGUACACAAUCUACCUCAUACUGGGGCAUACCCUUUGGAAACUGGGAAUAAUACCCCAUAGUACUACUAAGUUGCAUAAUUUGGUAGUUAAAGGUUUACUGCUUUAGGAUGGGUGUGCGAGCCAUUAGGUAGUUGGAGAGGUAACGGCUCACCAAGCCGACGAUGGCUAGCUGGUCUGAGAGGAUGAUCAGCCACACGGGCACUGAGACACGGGCCCGACUCCUACGGGAGGCAGCAGUAAGGAAUAUUGGACAAUGGGCGAAAGCCUGAUCCAGCCACGCCGCGUGCAGGAUGACGGUCCUAUGGAUUGUAAACUGCUUUUGUCAGAGACGAAAGUGUAUGAUUUAUCAUAUUUUGACGGUAUCUGGCGAAUAAGCACCGGCUAACUACGUG
rnacentral:rRNA from 1 species